UGCAGUGUGGCAUAGUGGUUUGAGUGUUGGACUAUGACUCUGGAGUCCAGGGUUCGAAUCCCUGCUUGGCCU